rfam:Brugia malayi, FR3, WGS project CAPY01000000 data, contig: ctg1509741
AUUUGUGACAAUGCCACGUUGAAAGCACGACAUCUCGUCGGGUCUGUCAAGUUAAGCAACGUUGGGGCCUGGUUAGUACUGGGAUCGGAGACGGCCUGGGAUCCCAGGUGUUGUAGACA